rnacentral:lncRNA from 1 species
AUGGCACCAGCCGCUGCUCUGCCAGCUCUGCCAAGAGCCUCGCUUGCUCUGAGCCCCUGGAGCGCGCUGCUGCUGGCCUCGUUCCUGCUUACAAACGGACCUUGUUGGACCGGGACUAGGAGUGGAAGAAAUCUGCUUUGCAUCAGUUUCUCUGGGUUUGAUUUGCGCCCAGCCGGGAUGCUCGCCCAGCCGCUCCCGGUGAGCAGCCCUCUCCUGACAGCCCCACCAGCAGGUGAACAUCUGGAUGGGGCGCUGAACACUGCAGGAGACAACCACAAAGAGACAACACGCUUCAUUUUAACACAUCCAGGCCACGAGGAGUCUCCAGCACGCUCAAGGCUGGGAGGUUUUACAACCAGCAGCCAAGCUGUAGGGCACAGCCCGGUGCUGGUGCUGCCUGGACCCGCGGCUGGCACGCAGGCUGCGCAGGCACCGCGUAACGCCGUGUUCCUGUCAAGCCUACAAGCAAAUGUAACACGAAAGAGAAGGCCAUUUGCUUCCUAA